ensembl:lncRNA
UCAUUCUGUCCAAAAGCAAUUUCAAAGCUUUAUUACAUUUAGUUUGCAUACAAGGUGUUUGUGAUGUGGGUAUUUAUUUUGACAUGAAAUGUUCAGACAACAGCUAAACUACCAAGACAAUAAAUAUGACUUGUCGAUAUUUCACUUUCUGGACAACACCUGGACUCUUUGCUACCGAUUUCGAAGGGCAUGCAUAAAAGCAAACUGGGCUACGCUAGAAGGGCUGGGACACACUGGAGCACUGUCAUACAUUGGAAAAAAAAUAAUAAAAUCAAGAAAGUCAUAUUUGUUAAAGUGACGUAGCACUUGUGUGUAUUAAACAACCCCCGAGUGAGGAUCUACACUUUUGUCAAAAACAGAAAACACAACCAUUCCUGCACAGAUACAGCCAUAAUCCUUGUAACUGUGGUACUUUGGUGUUGCGAAAGGCCAUGAUGUGAAUGCAUUUUAAAGCCAAAGGCCAUGAUGUGAAUGCAUUUUAAAGCCAAAGGCCAUGAUGUGAAUGCAUUUUAAAGCCAUUAUCAUUGCAUCAUGUGCUAUAUUUAAAUAUGCUUAAAAGAAAAUCUGAAACAUUAGAAUCUGUUUCCCUUAAACCAUUUAAGAAUCUAUUUUUGGUAUGUUUCUGCUUAAAACUAGCAGGGAAUUCUGUAUAGCAUCAAAACUAAAAUAUCUAAAAAGUGCUUUAAAGCAAUCGCUUCACUGUAAAUCCAACAAAAUACUGAAACGUUUUGGUGCUAUACAGAUGUUGUCGUUCAGAGAACAUAAAGAUAGAAGAUUACUACUGGGGGCGAAGAUGAUGAAAAAUUAAGAUAAUUACUGAAAUGGGGAAAAACGGUUUUGUCACUGUGGGAAUGAAAAGCAAAAGAAAAAAAGUAAAUCUAGGACAAGGUGUACAAUUACUAACAAAAAUUGCCAACACUGUCUCUGCAAGUUUCUGACAAGUAGCUACCAACAUACUAUCAAAAUAUUCUGUUAACCAAAACAAAAUAACUUACAUUUUCCUACACCUAUAAGCUUUGAUGUUGUAUAUAACAUGUUAAUGACAUCAAAUGUUAAUUAAAAAAAAGAAAUCUGUAAAAACAGUGGGCAUACAAUUUCAAUGAAGGGCUAACAGGCUACUUGACAAUGUUAAAGAGAAUUCAUAAGACACUGAAAGAAAGCAAUCAUUGUUUACCUACUAUACCUUCGAUGUUGUGUCAUUGUUAUUAUGUAAACCAGUGAUAGUCAGCGCUGACCACUUGUGACCCACUGGUGUAAACCUAUUCACUGUAAAAAUGAAAAACAACAAACAAACAAACAAAAACCCUUCUGAAUGCAUAACAGGUCACUGGAACCCUUUAUUCAUUCAGGGAGGGUUUUAUUCUUCGCUAUGUACAGUAAAACUAAAUUAGUCCCAUUGAUUUUUUUUUCCUUUUUUUUUAGACCAAGUCUUUGAUAUACUUUUCAUACACUUUUCUGUAUAUAUAAGUUGCUCUGGAUGUUGAUUUUUGUCUUAUUUCCUCUCAACUGAGGACAUAAGUUAGGCACACUCUGGUUUCCUAGCAUAGACGGCUACAUAAGGAAAGGAUCUAUUAUCUGAUAUUUGUUUCUUAAAAAGACACAAACUGCAACUUGCACAGGUGGUAACGCUUUAUAAUAAGGUAUGUUAAUAAAUCAUUUACACAACGGUUACGUUUACAUGCACAAACCCUUAAAAGCAAUUAUAUAACAUGAGUAGAUUAUUUAUGUUUGUAAGACACUUGAAAAAUCUUGUAAAUGCUUAAUCGAUUCAUUUACUACACCUAUUUUAUCAGCUUGAGUUAUUUUGCAGCUCUAUAUUUGAAAGCAAGUACUGCAUAUCCUCCAAGUGUAAAAGUAAUCUAAGUAACAAUACAAUGUAUUAAACUUGAAAAUGUAACCUUCUUUAUCACAAAAUAGUGGAUACAAGACUACAGGUUUGAAGAGACAAUUUCUGAUCUCAAGUCUGGAAAUACUGCCUAUGUAGCCAUUUAUUUCCAUCUCUAUCCAUCUCUCUAAAUCUAUGUCUAUAUAUCUAUACAUAUAUAUCUAAAUAUCUAGAUGAAUAAAUGAAAGAAUGAAGACUGUUUUCAUUUAUCAAUUAUCAAAUUGAUAAAAUAGAUGUAAUAAAUGCAUUAGUUGUUGAUCAUUUCACUGUUAAUACACAGAUCAUUAUUGCUUUUGUAAAUAAUCCCUUCUACGUUCACAAGUUUAUUUGCCUUUUUACUGUUUUUGAUGGUAGGUUUACCAUAAAUAAAUGUGUGUUAUGCAUAAAUUCAGCAUUUACAAUGCUACUUGGUAAUACAUUGUAAAUGGUUUAUUACCACAUUUCUAAAUAUUUGUGUGCAACCUACUAAUGUUAUCCAACAUCUUUUAAGGCCUUUAAAUGUCAAAUUAACCAUUUGGUAAUACAUUGUAAAUGGCUUAUUAACACACCGUUAUAAAACCAUUUUGUCUAGUUAGACCACAUUUCUGGUGGGUCAAAUGCAUCCAUUGAACCACGAUGGAGAACUAUGUGGUUCAACUUUGAUUUAUGUGAUUUUACCAGCUCUACAAAACCUCACAUUAUGCAAUAACAGUAUACCUUGCCUAAGUUGAACUAAGGAUGAAAUAUUUUGGUGUCAGUGACUACGGUAAACAGAGAAUGUAAAACUGCUUUUGUUACAAGCUCCCAUGCCUUCUAGGCUGUCAAAAAAGACGCAUUUUGAAUUUUUCAAAGACAAUACAUAGGUGUCAAAAUGACUUACAUUCAAAGUGUUGUGGAGACAUUUGCCCAUGUUCUCCCCCUAGCACGUCUCUAGUCUACCAUCUACAAUGAUCCUUCCUUUUCUAAUACAUUCAUUAGACAUGAUCACCCUGCUAGCCUUCCAGUACCAGCGUAAAAAGUGCAACACAACAACACUUCUACCAUCAGUUACACUCUGUUGCGUCUCAGAUUUGCUGUUAUUGAGUGAAAGUCUUUUCACUCCAAUUUUAGCUAAAAGUUUUCAUGGUCUUUCCCUGUGCCAUUUGAUAACUACAGGUCUAAUAUGACACACCAUAAGCUUACAAGGUGAUAUUUUGUCAUAGUUGCAACGACUAACUGUUUAACUAAAAAACACUGAACGUUAUAAUUUUCCAAAUUUUAUCUGUCUCCAGUAUACCUGCUUUCUAUCAGUAUAUCUGCUAGUAGCAGCUGCUGAAGGACAGUUUUACUUCACUACAUGAAAAAAUGACAUGCUUUUUAAAGCCAUAGCAACACAUCAGUGAGCUACAAUACACUGAUUUUCAGUGUAAUAACAUUACUGAAGUCUAAGGAAUGGGAGAUUCAUGGACAAAAAAAGUAUAAUCUCUAUAAUCUUUAUCCUAGGGCAGAAAAGGUUAGGGUGUCAGUCAUGUUAUAGACUAUACCAUCUCCAUGACAAUAAAAAUCUGUUACAUGUACAUGUACUACUUACUCCAGAGCUAUGCUCUGAAAAUAAGCUGAAAGGUUUAUUAUGAGUCCAGCAUGAAAAGCAAGAGGGGAUGUUGGGAGGAGUUCUGCAAGGCAUAGUGUGUCUAACUCUGGGCUUAACUGCCCUGUGUCAUGUUCUGCAUGUGUUUGGCAAUGUCGUACACAUAGGUGAUGUCCGGCCUCUUCUCCGGGUCGGGGUUGAUGCACAUAUCUACCAAGUUCCUCAGCUGGUGAUAGGGGUGGGGGUGAUAGUUGGGAGGAAAAAGGAUAAAUAAUACAGUCAAUGACAGAACUGCAGAUUUUAAAAUAGCUGUAAAGAGAAAUGAACAAACCUCUGGUAACGCCCUCUAGAUGACCAAUCAUACCAAAAAUGAUGCAACAAGUAACCAAGCUGAGACGAAGACGCAAGGCUAGGUUACUGCACUAAUCGCUUACUGGUCUGCUGAAUCCACUUUUACCAGAGCCCACACAUGCACACCCACACACAUGCACAUACGCACGCUGCUGCCACUCCACUGCCAUCCGGAGACAGCACUUACACUUGAAGCUGAGCGCAGCGGUUGAUUGGAGCAGAUAGACAGACAGGCUCGCAGGCGGUACAGCCACCGC